CAGGGCAGGCUCGACUCGCGUGUCCAGGAGCUCCAGGGCUUCCGAGCUUAAGGUUCUGCCGCCGCCUCCUCUGCUUGAAGGUUUUUAAGUGCUGGCCCUGGGCUUUGCCUGUCCUAGACCCACCAAAGCAGGGGCCCUGGGGGUGCAGCCUGGGCAGCUGCGGUUCAGAAACUUCCAGAGGAUUCCGAGGUGUAGAGCUGGCUCUAACAGAGACAAUCUUGCCCAGCGUCCAUUCCCCUUCCUCCCUGCUUCCUCCUCUGAGGCCAAGGUAAACCAGGGGUUUCUUCUUCCCCACCCCAGCCCCUCAGAAGCACUUGCUAUCUGAGGUUGCCCCGUAGCCCCUCCUGGGUCCUGUUGGCACAGUCUCCACCAACCUCUCACAGCGGCUGAGGGUCUAAGCAUCUCGAUUCUGUGUUCUGCUGCUCACCGUGGCAUCGCUCUCGGCGACUUUGCUGCCCACACAGCUAAUCCUCCUCACGCCCCACGUCUUCACUCCCUGCCCCGUGCCUCCUGUGAUCUUGCCUCCACCUGCUUCAGCCAGCCACUUUGAGGUUGUUCUCUAGUCAUUGGCAGUACCAGUAAUUGCACUCUUCUAAUUCCACUUCACGUACCCCUCCCUCGGGCCAUCUCAGUGUCCAAGUGCAGCCGUUAUUCGGGGCACACCAGCUCUGAGCCAGCGUCCUUGUUCCUUACCCAUUCACGCCCGUGCCAGCUCGCAUUCAUGGGACCGUCACAAUCACUUGGUGGCACUCUCAGCCCCAACCUCCUUCCCCUCCCUCCCUUUCCCCUGACAAACCCCAACACUGGAUAAACCCGCCUCUGCCUACGGGGCAGAAUGCAGCCGGGGAGCCACUUCCUACCUCACUUCAAGACCACUGCCUUGGGCGGGUCCUUAGGUGCUGCCAUGACUUCUGCCGGAUCUCUGUGGUAUGUGCCCACACCUGUGCAGGUGGCUCCUUCUCACACUGUCCCUCCCAUCUUGCUCCUGUGCCUGUGCUCUGAUGUCAUUGAGAAACUGAAGUAACCAGUGGAAAAACUACAUACCCAUCACGUCACCUGCCAACCUGCCUUCCUCGUUAGGCAUCUACUGCCUGUUUCCUUUUGUUAUAAGAGAUGAACUGUCUCCAUGCAUGUCAAUGGCUAAUUCUCUUGUCACUACAUUUUAUCACUUCUCCUAAAAUGAGUUCUUUGUCUCAUUCUUUUGCAAUACCAACUUUUCCAUCUGUACUGGGUCUUUCUUAGCAGUAUAUACUUAAUGCUACAACAUCACCCACUUCAACCAAAACCAAAGCCUCUACCUCAACACAGGUGCUGCCAUCUCCCUUUGUCUUCUGUGCCCGCCUGUCUGUCUUGGUCUGUGCCCCAGGAACACUGGAGCCCUCUGUUUUCAGGUUGAGCUUGGUGAAUAGGGAAUAGCAGGACAUUAGAGGAAGGGACAAACGGAUUUUGGAUCCAUUAGCUUUGUAUGUUUGGGUCUUCUGCAUGCAUCGACAUGUAAAUCUGCACAGUUUUGUUUGGUUCAGAGCUAGUAGCUUUAUUGGUAAUGAAGCUAAAAACAAACUUCUUUCACAUUACCAUCAUUUCAAAUCACAUAUAUGCUGAAAGAAUUGCCAUGUUAUCAGCAACUGCACAUUCAUCAAAUUGAAAUAAAAACUAUUUUGCUACUUUUAUUUGUUCUGAAAGUCGGUCUUCUAUUUCAUUAGCCAGUUUCUUGAUAUAUUGAACUGUGGUGUCUUUGUAAAGUGGUGCCUGAGCUACUUUCCAUACCACAGAUUUCCUGAUAUUUUCAAGUGGUGAUUUUGAUGGUUCAGGGCUUUGCUGCAGUCUUCUACACGUGUGUCAGUGAUUGUAUAUGGUUUUUGGUCUUAGCAACCUGAAGCACUACUUUAUAAAAAACCUGAAAAGCCCUAAUGUGUGUAUGGGAAAUAUUGAAAAUUUGCUUCUGUCAGCUUUUUAACUUAAUACUCUUUCUUUCAAAGAAUUCAUUUCAAUUAUAGCCUCGCAGCCACUUGAGAGAGCAGAAAGGAGCUGCUCCCAAACAAUUGUCAUUAUGUGGCCCGUCUGGUGGCUCCCUGGAAGAGCCCAUACACAAGGCUGUUUGAAUUUGGAAUGGCUCAGGGAUCACCCUGCAUGGAAAACUUCCUACUUUGGUGAUCAGUGGACACAUUUCUUGAGAACUAUUACAGAGAAAGAGACACUGCAGAACUCUCCCUGUGCACACACAGAGGAAGGCCGUGUGAGGAUACAGAAAGAUGGUGCCCAUCUGCAAAGGAGUAAGAGAAGCCUCAUCAGAAACUUGCAUUGGUGCCUCGAUCCUCAACUUCUCACCUGCACAACUGCGAAAAACCAGUUUCCAUGGCUAAAACACCCAGUAUGUGGCAUUUGGCUAUGGAAGCUCAGUUGACCGAUACAUAGGGGUGAUGUCUGUAGAAAGAGAGAUGCCAGAUAUUUCUUUCACUCCAUGUGGACACAG